CACCAGCAGGCAGCAUAUAAGAAUAACUGCAUACUUAGCCAUGCUUGGUAAAGUUGGUCCAGAUGGGAUUUCAUGGAAGGCAGUGGUAAAGAGAAAGUACUUUCUGAAGUAUUGACAACCAUUAACCAUUAUAAAAGUAUAUUUGGACAAGGGUACUUAGCAUUAAGAGUGAGUUUGGAUGCAAAGUGCAAGUGGUGAGUUCUUAUAUGAGUGCGAUUGGACCUUUCCUCAACACCCUAGGAAUCAUAAUUUGUUGCUAUGUGUCUCAGUGGGCAAAUAUGUAUACAUGUAGAUAGGCGUAAAUUUCAAGACCUUAUGAAC